rnacentral:rRNA from 1 species
GCUUCGGUGGUGGAUUAGUGGCGAACGGGUGAGUAACACGUGGGCAAUCUGCCCUUCACUCUGGGACAAGCCCUGGAAACGGGGUCUAAUACCGGAUAACACUCUGUCCCGCAUGGGACGGGGUUGAAAGCUCCGGCGGUGAAGGAUGAGCCCGCGGCCUAUCAGCUUGUUGGUGGGGUAAUGGCCUACCAAGGCGACGACGGGUAGCCGGCCUGAGAGGGCGACCGGCCACACUGGGACUGAGACACGGCCCAGACUCCUACGGGAGGCAGCAGUGGGGAAUAUUGCACAAUGGGCGAAAGCCUGAUGCAGCGACGCCGCGUGAGGGAUGACGGCCUUCGGGUUGUAAACCUCUUUCAGCAGGGAAGAAGCGAAAGUGACGGUACCUGCAGAAGAAGCGCCGGCUAACUACGUGCCAGCAGCCGCGGUAAUACGUAGGGCGCAAGCGUUGUCCGGAAUUAUUGGGCGUAAAGAGCUCGUAGGCGGCUUGUCACGUCGGAUGUGAAAGCCCGGGGCUUAACCCCGGGUCUGCAUUCGAUACGGGCUAGCUAGAGUGUGGUAGGGGAGAUCGGAAUUCCUGGUGUAGCGGUGAAAUGCGCAGAUAUCAGGAGGAACACCGGUGGCGAAGGCGGAUCUCUGGGCCAUUACUGACGCUGAGGAGCGAAAGCGUGGGGAGCGAACAGGAUUAGAUACCCUGGUAGUCCACGCCGUAAACGUUGGGAACUAGGUGUUGGCGACAU